rnacentral:rRNA from 1 species
UACGUAGGGUGCGAGCGUUGUCCGGAAUUAUUGGGCGUAAAGAGCUUGUAGGCGGUUUGUCGCGUCUGCUGUGAAAAUCCGGGGCUCAACCCCGGACUUGCAGUGGGUACGGGCAGACUAGAGUGUGGUAGGGGAGACUGGAAUUCCUGGUGUAGCGGUGGAAUGCGCAGAUAUCAGGAGGAACACCGAUGGCGAAGGCAGGUCUCUGGGCCACUACUGACGCUGAGAAGCGAGGGCAUGGGGAGCGAACAGG